UACGGAGGAUGCAAGCGUUAUCCGGAAUCAUUGGGCGUAAAGGGUGCGUAGGUGGUGAGGUAAGUCGGAUGUGAAAUCUCCAGGCUCAACCUGGAAACUGCAUUGGAAACUACCUUGCUGGAGGAUUUGAGGGGGGAUUGGAAUACUUGGUGUAGCAGUGAAAUGCGUAGAUAUCAAGUGGAACACCAGUGGCGAAGGCGAAUCCCUGGAAAAUACCUGACACUGAGGCACGAAAGCUAGGGGAGCAAACAGG
rnacentral:rRNA from 1 species